AUGCAGCAUUCUGCCGGCUCUCAGCAUUUAGACAGCUUUGUGACACAGCGCCUGGAAGAGAGACUGAGAGCAGCCAGAUCUAAAGGUGCGAGCCUCCAGCAGCAGGAGGCCUCUCUCGAGCCAGCCAGUCGCCUGCAGAGCCUCAGAGACAGAGACACUGUAACAAGGUUUGACAAGAUAGAUCCGGACAGAGCUGGAAGACACGAGGACCCUCUGGCCCUCAGGACCAGGGUCACGUUCCGAGAAGCAGCCAGACGAGUAAGGCUGGAGACAAGAUUGCGAUCAUUUUAA
rnacentral:lncRNA from 1 species